rnacentral:rRNA from 1 species
AACGUAGGACGCAAGCGUUAUCCGGAAUUACUGGGCGUAAAGCGCGCGCAGGCGGUCUUGCCAGUCUGAUGUGAAAUCUCUCAGCUCAACUGGGAGCAGCCAUUGGAAACUACAAGACUGGAGUCUGGCAGAGGUAGGCGGAAUUCCGGGUGGAGUGGUGAAAUGCGUAGAGAUCCGGAGGAACACCAGAGGCGAAGGCGGCCUACUGGGCCAGUACUGACGCUGAGCCGCGAAAGCCAGGGGAGCGAACGGG